UAACGGCGAGUGAAGCGGCAAUAGCUCAAAUUUGAAAGCUGGCCCCUUUGGGGUCCGCGUUGUAAUUUGUAGAGGAUGAUUCGGCGAGGGCUCCCGUCUAAGUCCCCUGGAACGGGGCGUCAUAGAGGGUGAGAAUCCCGUAUGUGAUGGGUUGCCUUAGCCAUGUGAAUCUCCUUCGACGAGUCGAGUUGUUUGGGAAUGCAGCUCUAAAUGGGAGGUAAAUUUCUUCUAAAGCUAAAUACCGGCCAGAGACCGAUAGCGCACAAGUAGAGUGAUCGAAAGAUGAAAAGCACUUUGGAAAGAGAGUUAAAAAGUACGUGAAAUUGUUGAAAGGGAAGCGCUUGCAGCCAGACUUGUCCGCAGUUGCUCAGCCGGUCUCCUGACCGGCGUACUCUUCUGCGGCCAGGCCAGCAUCAGUUCGGGCGGUCGGAUAAAGACCCCAGGAAUGUAGCUCCUCUCGGGGAGUGUUAUAGCCUGGGGUGGAAUGCGGCCAGCCUGGACUGAGGAUCUCGCUUCGGCUAGGAUGCUGGCGUAAUGGCUGUAAGCGGCCCGUCUUGAAACACGGACCAAGGAGUCUAACAUCUAUGCGAGUGUUUGGGUGUCAAACCCAUACGCGUAAUGAAAGUGAACGGAGGUGGGAACCCUCACGGGUGCACCAUCGACCGAUCCUGAUGUCUUCGGAUGGAUUUGAGUAAGAGCAUAGCUGUUGGGACCCGAAAGAUGGUGAACUAUGCCUGAAUAGGGUGAAGCCAGAGGAAACUCUGGUGGAGGCUCGCAGCGGUUCUGACGUGCAAAUCGAUCGUCAAAUUUGGGUAUAGGGGCGAAAGACUAAUCGAACCAUCUAG
rnacentral:rRNA from 1 species